AUUGAACGCUGGCGGCAGGCCUAACACAUGCAAGUCGAACGAGUGGCGGACGGGUGAGUAAUGUCUGGGAAACUGCCUGAUGGAGGGGGAUAAAUACUGGAAACGGUAGCUAAUACCGCAUACCAUCAGAUGUGCCCAGAUGGGAUGAGCUAGUAGGUGGGGUAAUGGCUCACCUAGGCGACGAUCCCUAGCUGGUCUGAAAGGAUGGCCAGCCACACUUGAACUUAGACACGGCCCCGACUCCUACGCGAGGCAGCAGUGGGGAAUAUUGCACAGUGGGCGCAAGCCUGAUGCAGCCAUGCCGCGAGUGUGAAGAAGGCCUUCGGGUUGUAAAGCACUUUCAGCGGGGAGGCGUUACCCGCAGAAGAAGCACCGGCUAACUCAGUGCCAGCAGCCGCGGUAAUUC
rnacentral:rRNA from 1 species